rnacentral:misc_RNA from 1 species
AAGUCGUAACAAGGUCUCCGUAGGUGAACCUGCGGAGGGAUCAUUAACACGUUUCUUACAACGUUUCCCCCUACCAACCCGUGAACACUGUAAAUGUUUGAACGAACCCGACCUGAGAGAAGGGGCGAUAUGCCUGUUUGAAUGCGCUUAGUGAUGGGCGUUUUGGAGUCAGUCACAUGAUUCCAGAUGCGAGUGCAUUCGAGCUGUAGAAAGUGCUGCAACUUUCAAGGCUUCUCCUUCUUUUGGGCUAAUCUAUACCAUGCUCUCUCCUUCAUCCACUGGGAAUUCAUGGCUUUAAUUAUAACCACUUUCACCCCUAUCUAACUACUUGACUGAUCUAUUGUUUUGAUUUGUAACCGAAUCGAGACAUGAUUUUAAAUAAUCAACAUAUCUAAAGCACAACUCUUAGCAACGGAUAUCUUGGUUCUC